rnacentral:rRNA from 1 species
AACGAACGCUGGCGGCGUGCUUAACACAUGCAAGUCGAACGUGAUCCGGAGCUUGCUCCGGUGAAAGUGGCGCACGGGUGAGUAACGCGUGGAUAACCUGCCCUGGUAUCUGGGAUAACAUCUCGAAAGGGGUGCUAAUACCGGAUAAGCCCACGGAACCUUCGGGUUCUGAGGGAAAAGGUGGCCUCUGUCUCAAGCUACUGUAUCAGGAUGGGUCCGCGUACCAUUAGCUAGUUGGUAGGGUAAUGGCCUACCAAGGCGACGAUGAUUAGCUGGUCUGAGAGGAUGAUCAGCCACACUGGAACUGAGACACGGUCCAGACUCCUACGGGAGGCAGCAGUGGGGAAUUUUGCGCAAUGGGGGAAACCCUGACGCAGCAACGCCGCGUGAGUGAUGAAGGCCUUCGGGUCGUAAAGCUCUGUCAGAGGGGAAGAAAUGACGAGGUGCUAAUACCACUUCUUCUUGACGGUACCCUCAAAGGAAGCACCGGCUAACUCCGUGCCAGCAGCCGCGGUAACAC